AAAUGAGCUAUUUUUAGGAACCACACAGCCUGGGCAUUUGCACACUGGCUGAGCACAUGUCCGUGUGAUCCACAUGGGUUGGCCACACGUUCAUGUGCCAGCCCGUGUUGAUAUCGCUCCCUGUUUCUCAAACACGCAAAAAAAACUAAUUUUAGGGUUUCUGAGCAUUCUAAAGUCUAUAAAUACACACUAGAAGAGGAUUUAAGGGAGUAUACG
rnacentral:lncRNA from 1 species